UUUACAAAGCCUACUCUCUAG
rnacentral:siRNA from 1 species